UACGAAGGGGGCUAGCGUUGCUCGGAAUCACUGGGCGUAAAGGGUGCGUAGGCGGGUCUUUAAGUCAGGGGUGAAAUCCUGGAGCUCAACUCCAGAACUGCCUUUGAUACUGAGGAUCUUGAGUUCGGGAGAGGUGAGUGGAACUGCGAGUGUAGAGGUGAAAUUCGUAGAUAUUCGCAAGAACACCAGUGGCGAAGGCGGCUCACUGGCCCGAUACUGACGCUGAGGCACGAAAGCGUGGGGAAGCAACAGGG
rnacentral:rRNA from 1 species